GCUUUCCCGACACCGACCCAAGUCAUAAACCAUUCAGCCAUUUUGGCGUUGAAAUUUUCCAAGUUUUUUUAUGUAUUCAUAGUAUAGGUUUCACGAAAUAGAUAAAAUUACCAAAUCACCAAGGUAGUGCAGAACACCAACUGGUGUAAUGGUUAACGCUUUUGCCUUAUGUUCGGGAGAACCGAGUUCGAGUCUCACACUGCGCAAACUUUAGCUCAAAGUCCGCUUCGUGUGGGGCUCGAACCAUAGUCUCCCGAACACCGGGUAAAGUUAAAAACCAUUAUACCAUUUUGCCAGCAAAAUUCGGCUUUUUUUUUUGGUAGUGUACUGUACUGAACAGAGGACGUCUGGUGAAAAGGAAAAAUUGACAUGUUCAUUUUACGCUGGGUUACAUACAAGUGAAUGGGGGCACUGCCAUCUCGCGGUAGCUUGCCGUCAUUACAUGAACCGCUUCAUAAACUCGAGUCAAAAGCCUGUAUGUUUCAUAUCGUACGACGUACGUAUUUAUUUAAUUCUGCUUAUGUGAUGGUAUUUUAAAUUAAACAAAUGUACAGUAAACUACUCAUAUGUUUAAGUUCUAAUAACCAUAUUGUAACUGAAGUGGAAUGAUAUUUUCAUUAAAGAAAGAGCAAUGAUGAAA